rnacentral:tRNA from 1 species
UCCUCAGUAGCUCAGUUGGCUAGAGCAGCGGACCGUUAAUCCGUAGAGUCGUAGGUUCAAGUCCUACCCGAGGAG